CCUUCCUUAGCUCAAAAGCAGAGCACGCGGCCGAUAACCGCGCGAUGUGGGCGCGAUACCCGCAGGAAGGA
rnacentral:tRNA from 1 species